rnacentral:rRNA from 1 species
AUGAACGCUGGCGGCGUGCCUAAUACAUGCACGUCGAGCGAACAGACGAGGAGCUUGCUCCUUCGACGUUAGCGGCGGACGGGUGAGUAACACGUAGGUAACCUACCUAUAAGACUGGGAUAACUUCGGGAAACCGGAGCUAAUACCGGAUAAUAUUUCGAACCGCAUGGUUCGAUAGUGAAAGAUGGCUUUGCUAUCACUUAUAGAUGGACCUGCGCCGUAUUAGCUAGUUGGUAAGGUAACGGCUUACCAAGGCAACGAUACGUAGCCGACCUGAGAGGGUGAUCGGCCACACUGGAACUGAGACACGGUCCAGACUCCUACGGGAGGCAGCAGUAGGGAAUCUUCCGCAAUGGGCGAAAGCCUGACGGAGCAACGCCGCGUGAGUGAUGAAGGUCUUCGGAUCGUAAAACUCUGUUAUUAGGGAAGAACAAACGUGUAAGUAACUGUGCACGUCUUGACGGUACCUAAUCAGAAAGCCACGGCUAACUACGUG